rnacentral:rRNA from 16 species
CUGGUUGAUCCUGCCAGUAGUCAUAUGCUUGUCUCAAAGAUUAAGCCAUGCAUGUCUAAGUAUAAGCAAUUUAUACAGUGAAACUGCGAAUGGCUCAUUAAAUCAGUUAUCGUUUAUUUGAUAGUUCCUUUACUACAUGGUAUAACUGUGGUAAUUCUAGAGCUAAUACAUGCUUAAAAUCUCGACCCUUUGGAAGAGAUGUAUUUAUUAGAUAAAAAAUCAAUGUCUUCGGACUCUUUGAUGAUUCAUAAUAACUUUUCGAAUCGCAUGGCCUUGUGCUGGCGAUGGUUCAUUCAAAUUUCUGCCCUAUCAACUUUCGAUGGUAGGAUAGGGGCCUACCAUGGUGGUGACGGGUGACGGAGAAUUAGGGUUCGAUUCCGGAGAGGGAGCCUGAGAAACGGCUACCACAUCCAAGGAAGGCAGCAGGCGCGCAAAUUACCCAAUCCUAAUUCAGGGAGGUAGUGACAAUAAAUAACGAUACAGGGCCCAUUCGGGUCUUGUAAUUGGAAUGAGUACAAUGUAAAUACCUUAACGAGGAACAAUUGGAGGGCAAGUCUGGUGCCAGCAGCCGCGGUAAUUCCAGCUCCAAUAGCGUAUAUU